CACAAGCGGUGGAUGAUGUGGUUAAUUCGAUGCAACGCGAAAACCUUACCACCUUUGACAUGGCAGGAAUCCCGAAGAGAUUUGGGAGUGCUCGAAAGAGAGCCGUAACACAGGUGCUGCAUGGCUGUCGUCAGCUCGUGUCGUGAGAUGUUGGGUUAAGUCCCGCAACGAGCGCAACCCUUGUCAUUAGUUGCUACAUUCAGUUGGGCACUCUAAUGAGACUGCCGGUGACAAGCCGGAGGAAGGUGGGGAUGACGUCAAGUCCUCAUGGCCCUUAUAGGUGGGGCUACACACGUCAUACAAUGGCUGGUACAAGGGGUUGCCAACCCGCGAGGGGGAGCCAAUCCCAUAAAGCCAGUCGUAGUCCGGAUCGUAGUCUGCAACUCGACUACGUGAAGUCGGAAUCGCUAGUAAUCGUGGAUCAGAAUGUCACGGUGAAUACGUUCCCGGGUCUU
rnacentral:rRNA from 1 species